CAGCCGCCACGGUAAUACGAAGGGUGCAAGCGUUAAUCGGAAUUACUGGGCGUAAAGCGUGCGUAGGCGGUUUGUUAAGUCUGUUGUGAAAUCCCCGGGCUCAACCUGGGAAUGGCAAUGGAUACUGGCAAGCUAGAGUGUGUCAGAGGAUGGUGGAAUUCCCGGUGUAGCGGUGAAAUGCGUAGAGAUCGGGAGGAACAUCAGUGGCGAAGGCGGCCAUCUGGGACAACACUGACGCUGAGGCACGAAAGCGUGGGGAGCAAACAGGAUUAGAUACCCCAGUAGUCCCUGUCUCUUAUAC
rnacentral:rRNA from 1 species